AAUGAUCAUUUAGCAAGUCUGAAAUUGAGUACUUGGGACAUUGUUUUGGGCAAGGGGGUUUCUACAGACCCAAGUAAAUUAGCAGCCAUGAUUUCUUGGCCUAUUCCCAAGACAGCUAAGCAAUUGAGGAGUUUUUUGGAGUUGGCAAAAUAUUAUAGGAAGUUCAUUCAAAGCUAUGGCCUUCUCAGUAAGCCUCUUGCUAACCUUUUGAGAAAAUAUGCAUUCAAAUGGAUUGUGGCAAUUGAAGAAACAUUUGUACAGCUUCGAGAGGUGAUAUCUAAAGCUCCUGGUUUGGCCCUACUUGAUUUCUCUAAACCAUUUGUCAUUGAAAUUGAUGCAAUUGGAAAUGGGAUGGGGGCUGUUAUUCAACAAGAAGGCCAUCCUAUUGCAUUUAUAUCUAAAGCAUUUGGUCCUAGAACCAGCAACCUAUUAGCGUAUGAAAGAGAAUCGUUGGCCGUUACUUUUUCUGUUUCCAAGAGGAGGCAUUACUUGGAACAAGAACUUUUCUUCAUAAAGACGGAUCAUGAAAGCAUUAAGCACUUACUUGAGCAGAAAUUGCAUACUAGCUUGCAACUAAAGGGAAUUUCUAAUUAUUGCUUCAAUACAAGAUUUUAUAUAGAAGAGGAGUUGAAAACAAAGUUGUUGAUGCAUUAUCUAAAAGAAAUAAGGCUGAAGAUGGGUAUUUCAUGGCUCCACAGUCUUCCAUACAGCCCCUGUGGAUGAGCAACUUACUCAGUAGCUAUGAAGGUGACAACGUAGCCACCGAAGUUAUUUAGAAGUUGGCCAUUGACAGUACCCCUCACCCUGAUUAUUCCCUUAAAAAUGGAUUGUUAUUCGAUAAAGAUCAGUUGUUUGUGGGAUCUAAGGGACCUCAAAGGGAUCAAUUACUUCCCUUGUAUCAUAGCUCUUAUUUAGGGGGUCAUUCAGGGGUAUAUGUUUCCUAUAUCAUGCUGUUAACCAACAUAGAAGGUUCCUAAUUAGGAGGAUUCAAAUAUUUGGGAUCUUAAUUAGGCUUGAUUUAAGAGAUUUUAUUCUUAUUGUAAAUAUUUCUAAUUUAGGUUGAUUUUUUAUGUAUAAAUAUUCAAACCUUGUAAAGAUCAAUUCAAUUGGAAUAGAAUAAAAAAAAUUUCUCCAAAAAUUAUUUAUAGUAUCAGAGCGUUUCCAUCCGAUAUUUGGCCUCCCAUAAAUAUGUCACGUACCAGUAAAAUUUUGGAUGUAAAGGGUAUGUUGAAUCCCACAUCGGUUGUAGAAUGCCAUAAGCACUUCUCCCCCUUGAGCUAGCUUUUGGGGUGAGUUAGACCUAACUCAAAUUUAACAUGGUAUCAGAGCUUUUUCCUUGAUUUUAGGGUUUAAAUUUAUUUUUUUCUCUUAGCUUUUUUUUUUCAUCUCACCGCCGCCACCAGCAAGGUUGUCGGACUGUCGCCGGCCAACCGUCCAGUUCCAACGCCAGAAAGCCACGCGCAUGAGGCUCACGCGCGCUCGCAAGAUUCUGCGUCUUUCUCACGCACCAAUGCGUGUGACAUUUUUUGGUGGUCUUUUUUGACGGCAAUCCUUUCCGGCAGACUCACCUUUAAGUCGCGCUUCUGACCUGUGUGGAUCCGUGACUUGGUUCACCUUUUCUUGGCAUGGGAGAUGUUUUCCGGUAGUUUUUCCAGCAGUGAUCCUUUCAGCAGACUCGUCUUCAAGUUGCGCUUCUGAUCUGCUGAACCUGUGCCUUUUUCGUUGGUGAAUAAGGCAAUGGUAGACUGCACGAUUGCUCAUAUAUGUUGGAAGGGAAUCUGAGUUUGAAUUUAUCUCGAGCUCUUUUUGGAAUAAAUCAGGAUGUCAAUCAAGAAAUCAUACAGUGGCAUCAACGGUUAGGACACCCACCUUCUUUGUUUUAGAGAAAUUUUAUCGUGAUUUAUUUUCCAAGACUCAAUAUGGUUCUUUAAUUUAUCAUGCUUGUGAGUAUACUAAGCAUAUAAGAACCUCUUAUCGCUCCAGUACCAAUAGAAGUACGAUCCCUUUUGUGACCAUCCAUUCUGAUGUUUGGGGAUCUACUCAAACAGUCUCACUAUCUAGUAAUCGUUGGUUUGUUACUUUUAUUGAUUGUUGCACUUGCAUGACUUGGGUUUAUUUGAUAAAGGCAAAAAGUGAUGUGAUUUCUUGCUUUCAAUCUUUUCACAAGAUGAUUUGUACUCAAUUUGAUGCUAAGAUAAAAGCUUUGAGAAUUGAUAAUGGUAUAGAGUACAUGGAUGGCUAUUUUUCUGCUUAUCUGGAGUUUAAUGGGAUAUUGCAUCAAACUAGUUGUCCUUACACAAGUGCCCAAAAUGGUGUUGCUGAAAGAAAAAAAUACACCUAUUGGAAGUAGCCCGAUCUCUCUAUUUUACCAUGAACCUUUCAAAAACCUAUCGAGGAGAUGCAGUCUUAGCCGCAGCUUAUCUCAUUAAUAGGAUGUCUCUUAAAGCUCUUGCCUUUAAAAACUCUUUAGAGGUACUACAAGGGAAAAAUGCUUAUAUUAUUCCACUAAAGAUAUUUGGAUGCACGUGUUUUGUUCAUACUAGAAUAAGUGGGAAGCUUGAUCCGAAGGCUAUUAAAUGUGUGUUGUUGGGUACUCUCCCACACAGAAGGGUUACAAGUAUUACCACCCUCCAUCUAGAAAAUACUUUGUCAGUAUGGAUGUUACAUUAAGAGAGACUGAACCUUACUUCAGUACUACCCCAUCACCUCUUCAGGGGGAGGACAAUGAGAGAGAAGAGAUGAUUCCUAGUCCUAUAACUCUAGAACAUUUUACUCUAGAGGAGACUACUAUCCAGGAGGGGGCUAUUGGUGAUCACAAGACUAUUAUACAGGGAGAGACUAUUGGUGAUCAAAUUGGGCGUUUGGAUAAAUUAGAUUUAAGGAAAUAUUUAAGAAGAGACAAAACAGAAGCAGAAAAAGCCAUUGUACAGCCUACUCAGUGUCAUGGAUCUUCCUCUUCCCAUCUAGUGAGUCAUUCCUAAACCUUGAGCCCUUUGAUGAUCUAAAUAAACCAAUUGCUCAAAGAAAAAGAGUUAGAUCUUGCACAAAGCACUCUAUUUCUAACUCUCUCUUAUAAUUCUUUGUCUCCAUCCUAUAGAGCCUUUACCUUGUCUAUUUCCUCUGUGUCUAUUCUACAGAAUUGAAAGGAAGCUUUUGCAGAUCCUAAAUGGAAGGGAGCAAUGAUUGAACAGAUGAAAGCAUUGGUCAAAAAUGAGACCUGGGAGCUUGUCACUCUCUCACCUGGAAAGAAACUUGUUGGCUGCAAAUGGAUAUUCACUGUGAAACACAAAGCAAAUGGAUCAAUUGAAAGAUUCAAGGCUAGACUAGUGGCCAAAGGAUACACUCAAACCUAUAGAGUGGAUUACCGGGAGACAUUUGCUCAUGUUGCCAAAAUGAACUCAAUCAGAGUAUUGCUAUCUUGCGCUGUCAACCUUGACUGGGAUCUACAACGAUUUAAUGUGAAAAAUGCAUUCCUCCACGGAGACUCGAAGGAGGAAGUGUGUAUGGAAAUCUCUCUUGGAUUUGGUGAUAAAAAAACACAAAGAAAGGUAUGCAGGCUAAAGACGGCUUUAUAUGGGUUGAAACAGUCACCCAAAGCUUAGUUUGAUCGAUUCAGUAGAGUUAUAAUUUUCUUUGGCUAUCAACAGAGCAAUACUGACCAUACCCUAUUAUCAAACAUCAUAAGGGUAAAAUUACUCUUCUUAUAGUCUAUGUUGAUGACAUAGUAAUAACAGGAGAUGACACUGAAGAGAUAACUCGACUAAAAAAGCUUUUGGCUCAGGAGUUCGAAAUUAAAGAUCUCGAAAAACUGCAAUAUUUCCUAGGAAUCGAGGUUGUCAGGUCAAAGAAGGGAAUCUUUAUUUCUCAGAAAAAAUACAUUCUGGAUAUUUUAGAAGAAACUGGUAUGUUAGGUUGCAAACCAGCAGAAACUCCCAUUGAGAGCAAUCACAAGCUACAAGUAGGGAUUGGUGAAUCAGUGGAUAUGGACAAAUAUCAGAGGUUGGUAGGCAGACUGAUUUAUCUUUCGCAUGCUCGACCAGACAUAGCAUAUGCAGUCAGUUUAUGCAUGAUCCAUGUGAGUCUCACAUGCAAUCUGUUUUUCGCAUUUUGUGAUACUUGAAGUCUGCUACUAAAAAAGGUAUCCUAUUCUCUAAACACGGUCAUCUUCGCAUACAUUCAUUCACAGAUGCAGAUUAGGCUAGAUCCCUUAACGAUAGAAGAUCGACUAAUGGGUACUGUACACUUAUGGGAGGAAACUUUGUCACUUGGAGAAGCAAAAAGCAAAGAGUUGUUGCUCGAUCAAGUGCUAUAGAGCGAUGGCGCAAGGUGUUUGUGAACUCCUAUGGUUGCAGAGAUUGUUGGAGAAAUUGAAACUAUUGGAGAGGGACAAACUCCUCUUAUACUGUGACAACAAAGUUGCCAUCAGUAUAGCUCACAAUUCGAUUCAACAUGACCAAAUGAAACACAUAGAAAUUAAGCAACACUUCAUUAAAAAGAAGUUGAUAAAUGGUGUCUUGAGAUUAAAUCAUGUGACCUCCGAUCAACAGCUAGCUGAUGUGUUUACCAAAGGGCUCAGCAACAAGACCUAUCAUAUCUUGGUUUGCAAGUUAGGCAUGUGUGAUAUCUAUACACCAACUUAAGGGGGAGUGUUGACCAACAUAGAAGGCUCUUAAUUAGGAGGAUUCAAAUCUUUGGGAUCCUAAUUAGACUUGAUUUAAGAGAUUUUAUUCUUAUUGUAAAUAUUCCUAAUUUAGAUUGAUUUUUUAUGUAUAAAUACUCAAACCUUGUAAAGAUCAAUUCAAUUGGAAUAGAAUAAAAAAAAUCCCUCCCAAAAUUCUUCACACGCUUUAUGGAAUGGGUGAAGGGAUGUGACACUUAUGCUAGAUGCAAGAUUGAACAUUGCCAGCCUCCAGGUUUGCUACAGCCACUUCCAGUUCCUGGUCACUAUGAAUUUUAUAGUGCAACUUCCCAUUUCAAGAGAAAAGGAUGCUAUUCUGGUUGUAAUAUGCAAAUUUACCAAGUAUGGGCAUUUUAUUGCAUUAAAGCAUCCUUUCUCUGCUUCCAUAAUAACUCAAGUAUUCUUGGAUAAUGUCUUUAAACUUCAUGGGCUGCCAACUUCCAUCAUCACUAACAGGGAUAAGAUUUUCACCGAUUUAUUCUGGAAAGAGUUGUUCAGAAAGUUGGGAAACCCUGAGACUGAUUGCCAAACUGAAAGGUUAAAUCAAAGCUUGGAAGGGUAUUUGAGAUGUCUUUGUUAUCAACAACCUCAUUCAUGGGAUAAGUAGUUACCUAUAGUUAAGUGGUGGUACAAUACCAGCCAUCAUUCAGCCCUGAAAAUGUCCCCUUUUGAGGCCUUUUAUGGUUAUCAGCCCACAUCUCUGCCUAUAGUUCAGUUGCAAGAUGUUGCUGUGGAUGGAGUGGCUGAAUUUCUAUAGGCUAAGCAAUGUUCGUCUCAGCUCAUAAGGGACAAUCUGCUAUAAGCUCAGAAUCGAAUGAAGCAAUAUGAAUAUAAAAAGAGGACUGAAAGGCAGUUUGAUAUUGGUGAUUGGGUGUAUCUGAAACUACAGCAGUACAGGCAGACUUCAGUACAUGUUAGAAAGAAUUUUAAGCUAGCAGCUAGGUAUUAUGGGCCCUAUCAAGUGUUGGAGAAAAUAGAUCUAGUAGCUUAUAAGCUGCAACUGCCAUCCUUUGCCACUAUUCACCAAGUAUUUUAUGUUUUUUUAUUGAAGAAAAAGGUAGGAUAGGACACCACCAUUGUUUAAGACUUGCCUAGUUUUCAGGAAGAUGGGGUUGUCAUUGAACCUAAAAAUAGAUCUAGUACCCUAUAAGCUGCAACUGCCAUCCUUUGCCACUAUUCACCCAGUAUUUCAUGUUUCUUUAUUGAAGAAAAAGGUGGGAUAGGGAACCACCAUUGUUUAAGACCUGCCUAGUUUUCAGGAAGAUGGGGUUGUAACUGAACCUAAAAAGUGUUGAAGAUAACAGUGAUUUUUAGAAAUGGACAGCAGAUUUUCCAAGGGUUGGUCAAGUGGUCUCAAUUGCCGGCUGAGGAUGCCACUUGGGAAGCUUGCUCAAUUUCCUUCUUUUCAGUCUUCUUGGAGACAAGAAGAUUCUCGUGGGGGUAUAUUGUCACAUAUUCUAGAAGGAAUAAGAAAAGUAAUAAUUGAAUGAGUAGAGUGGAGGGAAAUUCUGUUGGGAAUAGCAUGGGUAGUGCUGUUUGGUUGAGAAAUGUUAGUUAGCAACCUAACUGAU
rnacentral:lncRNA from 1 species